rnacentral:rRNA from 1 species
UACGUAGGUGGCAAGCGUUGUCCGGAAUUAUUGGGCGUAAAGCGCGCGCAGGUGGUUUCUUAAGUCUGAUGUGAAAGCCCACGGCUCAACCGUGGAGGGUCAUUGGAAACUGGGGAACUUGAGUGCAGGAGAGAAGAGUGGAAUUCCACGUGUAGCGGUGAAAUGCGUAGAGAUGUGGAGGAACACCAGUGGCGAAGGCGGCUCACUGGGACGAUACUGACGCUGAGACGCGAAAGCGUGGGGAGCAAACAGG